rnacentral:rRNA from 1 species
AGAGUUUGAUUAUGGCUCAGGACGAACGCUGGCGGCGCGCCUAACACAUGCAAGUCGAACGGAGUUACGAGCUUUUAAACGAGAGUUGGUAACUUAGUGGCGAACGGGUGAGUAACGCGUGAGUAACCUGCCCUGGAGUGGGGGACAACAGUUGGAAACGACUGCUAAUACCGCAUAAGCCCACGGCCCGGCAUCGGGCUGCGGGAAAAGGAUUUAUUCGCUUCAGGAUGGACUCGCGUCCAAUUAGCUAGUUGGUGAGGUAACGGCCCACCAAGGCGACGAUUGGUAGCCGGACUGAGAGGUUGAACGGCCACAUUGGGACUGAGACACGGCCCAGACUCCUACGGGAGGCAGCAGUGGGGGAUAUUGCACAAUGGGGGAAACCCUGAUGCAGCGACGCCGCGUGGAGGAAGAAGGUUUUCGGAUUGUAAACUCCUGUCGUUAGGGACGAUAAUGACGGUACCUAACAAGAAAGCACCGGCUAACUACGUGCCAGCAGCCGCGGUAAAACGUAGGGUGCAAGCGUUGUCCGGAAUUACUGGGUGUAAAGGGAGCGCAGGCGGACCGGCAAGUUGGAAGUGAAAACUAUGGGCUCAACCCAUAAAUUGCUUUCAAAACUGCUGGCCUUGAGUAGUGCAGAGGUAGGUGGAAUUCCCGGUGUAGCGGUGGAAUGCGUAGAUAUCGGGAGGAACACCAGUGGCGAAGGCGACCUACUGGGCACCAACUGACGCUGAGGCUCGAAAGCAUGGGUAGCAACCAGGAUUAGAUACCCUGGUAGUCCAUGCCGUAAACGAUGAUUACUAGGUGUUGGAGGAUUGACCCUUCAGUGCCGCAGUUAACACAAUAAGUAAUCCACCUGGGGAGUACGACCGCAAGGUUGAAACUCAAAGGAAUUGACGGGGGCCCGCACAAGCAGUGGAGUAUGUGGUUUAAUUCGAAGCAACGCGAAGAACCUUACCAGGUCUUGACAUCCGAUGCAUAGUGCAGAGAUGCAUGAGUCCUUCGGGACAUCGAGACAGGUGGUGCAUGGUUGUCGUCAGCUCGUGUCGUGAGAUGUUGGGUUAAGUCCCGCAACGAGCGCAACCCUUAUUGCCAGUUACUACGCAAGAGGACUCUGGCGAGACUGCCGUUGACAAAACGGAGGAAGGUGGGGAUGACGUCAAAUCAUCAUGCCCUUUAUGACCUGGGCUACACACGUACUACAAUGGCGUUUACAAAGAGAAGCAAGACCGCGAGGUGGAGCAAAACUCAAAAACAACGUCUCAGUUCAGAUUGCAGGCUGCAACUCGCCUGCAUGAAGUCGGAAUUGCUAGUAAUCGCGGAUCAGCAUGCCGCGGUGAAUACGUUCCCGGGCCUUGUACUCACC